UGCACCACUCAUUGUAUAGGACAGUGGUCUCCAAACUGUGCACCUCCAGAUGUUACACAACUACAACUCCCAGCAUGCCCUGACUGCUCCACUCAUUGUAUAGGACAGUGGUCUCCAAACUGUAGACCUUCAGAUGUUGCAAAAACAACAACUCCCAGCUGUUGGCUGUCCCGGCAUGCAGUUUUGCAACUUUGGGCAACAAUCAUCCACAGAAAAUUGUAAUGUCUCCCCCAUCAGGCCUUGGACGUGGCGCUACUUGAUAUCUCAUACACAUCCCCCCCUCCAUUUUGUGUUGUCCUCGUUUCCCUUAUUUCAACUUCCUCUACCUGUAGCCGCCUCGCCCCAGCGCCCCUACUUCUCCCUCCCCGAAUGGCGCACCUAUUCACAAUCCGCUCUCGUAUUCCUACAAGGCUCGCUGAUGUAAAGGAGCACUGAUGCCGUUGCCACGGCAACCUCCUCCCCUCCGCCCCCCCAGGCUGUGCGUCCGUGGGUGGCCGCGAAAGCGUUUUUCAUCUAGCACACUCUGUGCACAUGCUGGCCGGCUUAAAGAGCGAGAAGGGGCCGGCGCUGUGGUAUUUGGGGUGUGAGGUGGGUUUACUCCUUCUUGGCCAGGUGUCAACUCUAUUUUAUAUUUGGGAGGGGAGGGGGGGCUUAUCUGGGGAUCCGUAAAACAACCGGGUGUCCGUUACGAUUCAUGCACAUUGAAGUGAUAGAGAUGGUGGAGAGGCGCUGUAACACAUCAUUACUAAGGGCUGAGGAUUGUGAUGUCAUACGAUGACAUAAUAAAUCUUAAGGGCACAAUAGAGGAGGCCCAGUACGUCCCUGUCACUGUAUGUGUGUAUAGUUCCCACUAUCAGGUAGACGCAGACCAGCCAGAACAUUAAGACCACCUAUAGUUCCCUCCCUCCAACUACAACUUCCAGGAUCCCUUAUUUCCUGUCAAGGCACUGCAGCCGAGCCCAUCAGGGGACCAUGAAACCUUUCACCCUCACCCCAAUAGACACCGUCCCGGAGAACAAGUCAAAUCGUUUUGAGGUCCUAAAGAAACUGGAAGUCUUCUGGAUCUACAAGUGCAAUUCUCUGCAACCACCUGGUUUG